CAUAAAUUGAAAAGUGGCAUCAUUCUUUGGAUGUGAGAUAUUUUGUUGUUUUGCCUAUUUGCUCAUUUGCUUAGAUGUGAUCUAUAUUCUCAAAUGUUCUAAUAUUGUAGGGAGAUGGAUGAUGUCCAAGAAAUUGAACAAAGGUCCCAACCACAAAUUUUCUGGACACAAGAAAUGUCUGCAUGUGCUUUGAAAUAUUUGGCCCAGUUGGUUGCUGAUGGAAUUCGAGUAGACAAAGGAUUCAAAAGCUCGCACUAUAAUCAAUGUGCUAAAGUGGUGAAGGAAAGAUUUCAGGUUCAAGUUUCUGGUUCUCAAGUUACUAAUCAUCUUAAGACAUGGAGAACUCGCUGGUCAAACAUAUGCAAUUAUAAGAAGAUUAGCUCAGCCCAUUUUGAUGAGCAAACUGGAACAAUAUUGCUUGAUGAGAAGAACUACUUGGAACGGGUGCAGGUGUGUAUAUAUUUA
rnacentral:misc_RNA from 1 species